rnacentral:rRNA from 1 species
AGAUGGCGACCGGCGCACGGGUGAGUAACACGUAUCCAACCUGCCGAUAACUCGGGGAUAGCCUUUCGAAAGAAAGAUUAAUACCCGAUGGCAUAAUUAGACCGCAUGGUCUUAUUAUUAAAGAAUUUCGGUUAUCGAUGGGGAUGCGUUCCAUUAGACAGUUGGUGAGGUAACGGCUCACCAAACCUUCGAUGGAUAGGGGUUCUGAGAGGAAGGUCCCCCACAUUGGAACUGAGACACGGUCCAA